UACGUAGGGAGCAAGCGUUGUCCGGAAUCAUUGGGCGUAAAGCGCGCGUAGGCGGCCCUGUAAGUCCGCUGUGAAAGUCAAAGGCUCAACCUUUGAAAGCCGGUGGAUACUGCAGGGCUAGAGUCCGGAGGAGGCGAGUGGAAUUCCUGGUGUAGCGGUGGAAUGCGCAGAUAUCAGGAGGAACACCAAUAGCGAAGGCAGCUCGCUGGGACGGUACUGACGCUAAGGCGCGAAAGCGUGGGGAGCGAACAGG
rnacentral:rRNA from 1 species